ensembl:lncRNA
AUGGAGGAGAAAAUUAUUAUUUCGGCGUCCGCUCUGCCUGAGCUUUUUAAUUGCACCAUGUCUGGUUACAAGGACCGGACGGUGAAGGCAAGGGUCCGGCAGAAGGUGAGCCAAGAGGUUGGGCUAACUGAGGACGUCUGCCGCAAGAGACUGAAGGGCCUGAGUGACACCUACCUCAGGGAGAGACGAAAAGAGGCGGGAAAGAGGAGUGGGACAGCAGCAGGGCCAUCUAAGAGGUGGAAGUACUCUGCAAUCCUGUCUUUCCUCUACCCAUUUGUUACUCAGAGGGAGACCAGUAGCAAUAUGGGGCUGGGGGUCGAAGAAGACGGGAUUGCAGAAUACCCAGUCGAAGACCAGGGUUCAGAGGCAGCAGCAGGGACAGCGAAUAACCUAGGAGAAGAUCGAACCUGUACAAGCUGUGAGGAGCCGGAGGCUGCUGCUGCCUCUGAACCCAUUCCACCACCACCACCAACUGCUGCGGUCACCACAUCCCUAUUGCCCCAGGUCAUUUAA